GGGGACAUAGCUCAGAUGGAUAGAGCGAUCGCCUCCUAAGCGAUAGGCCGCAGGUUCGAGUCCUGCUGUUCCUA
rnacentral:tRNA from 1 species